UUUGUACAACAUUACUAGUGGUCGUUAUGGAACUGGUGCACAGAGGAACUCCCCACUGAUCCUGAGAGGAGCGGAGCUGGUCCGGGGAGGGAUCCAAGCAGCUGGGGCAUUAAGCUAGCUGGAACUAGGGAAGCCUCCGUGCUCUCCAGCGUGAACUGAGAUCCUGGGUGAGGUGAGGUGAUGUUGCUGCUCAAAUCGUUAACUGGAAGGAUACUUUAAAUUAAGAUCAAUACGCUGUCAUGGCCAGCCCCAUCUCCAGACCUGAACCCCAUUGAAAACCUCUGGAAUGUGAUCAAUAGGAAGAUGGAUGGUCACAAGCAUCAAACAAAGCUGAGCUGCUUGAUUUUUUUGCGCCAGGAGUGGCAUAAAGUCACCCAACAUCAAUGUGAAGUGCUGGUGGAGAGCAUGCCAAGACGCAUGAAAGCUGUGAUUGAAAAUCAGUGUUAUUCCACCAAAUAUUGAUUUUGGAAUUCUUCCUAAGUUAGAACAUUACUAUUGUGUUGUUUAAAAAGGGAUAUGAACGCAUUUUCUUUGCAUUAUUUGAGGUCUGACAACACUGCAUCUUUUUGGUUAUUUUGACCAGAUGUAAUUUUCUGCAAAUAAAUGCUCGAAAUGACAAUAUUUUGAGGGGAAUUUGGGAGAAAUGUUGUCAGUGGAUUAUAGAAUAAAAUAAAAAUGUUCAUUUUACCCAAACACAUACCUAUAAAUUGUAAAACCAGUGAAACUGA